AGUGAACGCUGCCGGUAGGCCUAACACAUGCAAGUCGAACGGCAGCACAGUAAGAGCUUGCUCUUACGGGUGGCGAGUGGCGGACGGGUGAGGAAUACAUCGGAAUCUACUUUUUCGUGGGGGACAACGUGGGGAAACUGACGCUACUACCGCAUACGACCUACGGGUGAAAGCAGGAGAUCUUCGGACCUUGCCCGAUUGAAUGAGCCGAUGUCGGAUUAGCUAGUUGGCGGGGUAAAGGCCCACCAAGGCGACGAUCCGUAGCUGGUCUGAGAGGAUGAUCAGCCACACUGGAACUGAGACACGGUCCAGACUCCUACGGGAGGCAGCAGUGGGGAAUAUUGGACAAUGGGCGCAAGCCUGAUCCAGCCAUACCGCGUGGGUGAAGAAGGCCUUCGGGUUGUAAAGCCCUUUUGUUGGGAAAGAAAAGCAGCAGGUUAAUCCCCCGCUGUUCUGACGGUACCCAAAGAAUAAGCACCGGCUAACUUCGUG
rnacentral:rRNA from 1 species